GGCAGUGGUAGCUCAGGGGUUUAGGUGUUUGGCUACUGAUCAGAAGGUUGUGCGUUCAAACCCCAGCACCACCA